GAUGAACGCUAGCGGGAGGCCUAACACAUGCAAGCCGAGCGGUAUUUGUUCUUCGGAACAGAGAGAGCGGCGCACGGGUGCGGAACACGUGUGCAACCUGCCUUUAUCUGGGGGAUAGCCUUUCGAAAGGAAGAUUAAUACCCCAUAAUAUAUUGAGUGGCAUCAUUUGAUAUUGAAAACUCCGGUGGAUAGAGAUGGGCACGCGCAAGAUUAGAUAGUUGAUGAGGUAACGGCUCACCAAGUCAAUGAUCUUUAGGGGGCCUGAGAGGGUGAUCCCCCACACUGGUACUGAGACACGGACCAGACUCCUACGGGAGGCAGCAGUGAGGAAUAUUGAACAAUGGGUUAGCGCCUGAUCCAGCCAUCCCGCGUGAAGGACGACGGCCCUAUGGGUUGUAAACUUCUUCUGUAUAGGGAUAAACCUACUCUCGUGAGAGUAGCUGAAGGUACUAUACGAAUAAGCACCGGCUAACUCCGUG
rnacentral:rRNA from 1 species